ensembl:lncRNA
UUUUUUUUUUUUUUUUUUUUUUUUUUUUGCUUUUUAGGGCUGCACUUAUUGCCGUAUGGAAGUCCCCAGGCUAGGGGUCGAAUUGGAGCUGCAACUGCCAGCCUAUGCCACAGCCACAGCAACUUGGGAUCUGAGCCAUGUCUGCGACCUACACCACAGCUCACAGUAACGCUGGAUCCCUGACCCACUGAAUGAGGCCAGGGAUUGAACCCGCAUCCUCAUGGAUACUAGUCAAGAUUCAUUUCUGUUGCACCACAAUGGGAAUUCCCAGGACUGUCUUUUCUUCAUUGUAUUUUCUUGCAUCCUUUGUCAUAGAUUAGUUGACCUUAGGUGCAUGUGUUUAGUUCUGGGCUUUCUAUCCUGUUCCACUGAUCUGUAUUUCUGUUUUUGUGCCAGUACCAUUCUGUUUUGAUGACUGUAGGUUUUUAGUAUAGUGUGAACUCAGGGAGCCUGAUUCCUCCUGCUCCAUUUUUCUUUCUUGGGAUUGCUUUGGCUGUUUGGGAUCUUUUGUGUUUCCAAACAAAUUUUAAAAUAUUUUGUUUUAGUUCUGUGAAAAUGUCAUUGGUAAUUUGAUAGAGAUUGCAUUGGAUCUGAGAUUGCCUUUGAUAAUAAUAGUCAUUUUGAUAGUAUUGAUUCUUCCAGUCAAAGAGGAUGGUAUAUCUUUCCAUCUGUUUGUGUCAUCUUCAAUUUCUUUCAUCAGUGUCUUAUAGUUUUUAGAGUACAGGUCUUUUGUCUAAGUAGGUUUAUUCCUAGGUGUUUUAUUCUUUUUGAUGUGAUAGUAAAUGGGAUUGUUUCCCUAAUUUUUCUUUCUGAUCUUUCAUUGUUAGUAUAUAGAAAUUUAGUUGAUUUCUGUAUAUUAAUUUUGUAUGCAGCAACUCUACCAGAUUCAUUGAUGAGCUCUAACAGUUUUAUGGUAGUAACUUUAGGAUUUUCUGGUAAUAGUCUCAUGUCCCAGAAAUAUCUGCAAACAGUGAUAGUUUUACUUCUUCCUUUCCAAUUUGGAUUCCUUUUAUUUCUUUUUCUUCUCUAAUUGCUAUGGCUGGGGCUUCCAGAACUAUGUUGAAUAGAAGUGGUGAGAGUGGACAUCCUUGUCUUGUUCCUGAUCUUAGCUGGGAUUCUUUUAGCUUUUCAUCAUUGAGAAUGAUGUUAGCUGUGGGUUUGUCAUAUAUGGCCUUUAUUGUGUUGAGGUAGGUUCCCUCUAUGCCCAAUUUUUGGUGUUUUUUUUUUUUUAAAUCAGAAAUAGGUGUUGGGUUUUGUCAAAAAGCUUUUUUCUGCAUCUGUUGAGAGGAUCAUAUGGUUUUUAUCCUUCAGUUUGUUAAUGUGGUGUAUCACACUGAUUGAUUCGUGGAUAUUGAAAAAUCCUUGCAUCCCUGGGAUAAAUCCCAUUUGAUCAUGGUGUAUGAUCCUUUUACUAUAUUGCUGGAUUCGGUUUGUUAGUAUUUUGUUGAGGAUUUUUGCAUCUGUGUUCAUCACUGAUAUUGGAUUGUAGUUUUUUUUUUUUUUGCAGUAUAUUUGUCAGUUUUUGGUAUCAAGGUGAUAGUGGCCUCAUAGAAUGAGUUUGGGAGUGUUCCUUUUUCUGAAUUUUUUUGGAAUUGUUUCAGAAGUAUAGGUGUUAACUCUUCUCUAAAUUUUUGGUAGAAUUUGCCUGUGAUGCCAUCUGAUCCUGAACUUUUUUUUUUUUUCCUUUUUUCCUUUUUAGGCCCCCACCUGAGGCAUAUGAAAUUUCCCAGGCUAGGGGUUGAAUUGUAAAUACAGCUGCCAGCCUAUACCACAGCCACAGCAAUGCAGAAUUUGAACCAUGUUUGUGACCUACACCACGGCUCACAGCAGUGCAGGAUCCCUGACCCACCGAGUGAGGCCAGGGAUCAAACCUGCAUCCUCGUGAAUACUAGUCAUAUUUGUUUCUGCUGUGCCGCAAAGGGAACUCUUGAUCCUGAACCUUUGCUUCUUGAAAGAUUUUUAGGCACAGUUUCAAUUUCAGUACUUGUGAUUGGUCCAUUUAUAUUUUCUAUUUCUUCUUGCUUUAGUCCUUUCUAAAAAUUUGUCCAUUUCUUUGAAGUUCUCCAUUUCCUUGGCAUAUUAUUGCUUAUAAUAGUCUCUUGUGAUCCUUUGUAUUUCUGUGAUGUCCUUUGUAACUUCUUUUUCAUUUCUAAUUUUAUUUUAUUUUAUUUUAUUUUAUUAUUUAUUUGAGCUUUUUCUUGUUUCCUGAGGUGGACUUGUAUUGCUGUAAACUUCUUAGAACUACUUUUGCUGCAUUUUGUAGGUAUUGGACUGUUAUAUCUUUGUUGUCAUUUGCUUCUAGGUAUUUUUAAAUUUUCUCCUUGAUUUCUUCAGUGAUCCAUUGGUUGUUUAGUAGCAUGUUGUUUAGCCUCCAUGUGUUGGUGUGUUUUGUAGUUUUUUUUGUGUUGAUUUCUAGUCUUAUAGCAUCGUGGUCAGAAAAGAUGCUUGAGGUGAUUUCAAUUUUAAAAAAUUUACUGAGGCUUGAUUUGUGGCCCAGAAUGUUCUUUAUGCUAGAGAAUGUUCUGUGUGCACUUGAGAAGAUUGUGUAUUCUGCUAUUUUUAUUUUAUUUUAUUUUUUUUUGCUUCUUAGGGCCACACUGUGGCAUAUGGAGGUUCCCAGGCUAGGGGUUGAAUUAGAGCUGUAGCCACCAGACUGCGCCACAGCCACAGCCACACUGGAUCCUUAACCCACUGAGUGAGGCCAGGAAUCGAACCUGCAAUCUCAUGGUUCCUAGUCGGAUUGAUUAACCACUGUGCAACUAUAGGAACUCCUAUUCUGCUACUUUUAGAUGGAUUAUUCUAUAAAUAUCUAUUAAGUCCAUCUGGUAUAAUGCAUCAUUUAAGGCCUGUGUUUCCUUAUUGAUUUUCUGUCUGGAUGAUCUGUCCAUCGCUGUAAGUGGGAUGUUAAAGUCCCCAGCUAUUAUUGUGUUAUUGUCAAUUUAUCCUUCUAAGGCUAUUAGCAGUUGACUUGUAUAUUGGGGUGAUCCUAUAUUAGGGGUCCUAUUUUUCCAAAAUGGCCACCUCCAAAGGAGUUUGUGCUGAUGAUUAUUCCUGAGACCUCUGCCUCCAAUGUCCUUCCCCCACAAGGAGCCACAGCUGCCCUCUGUAUUCUCGUGAGAUCCACCAAGAUUCGCAGGCAAGUCUGACCCAGAUUCUUAUGGAAUCUCUGCUUUGUCCUGGGAACCAGUGCACAUGAAAACCUAUGUGUACCCUCUAAGAGUGGAGUCUCUGAUUCCUCAGUCCUGUAGAGCUCCUGCACACAAGCCCUGCUGGUCUUCAGUGAAAAUGCUCCAGGGGCUCCUCCUCCUAAUGCCAGACCCCCAGGCAUGGGAAUCUGAUGUGGGGUUCAAAACUCUCAUUCCUGUGGGAGAGCCUCUGCGAUAGGUAUUUUCCAGUUUGUGGAUUGCUCAACUGGUGGGUAUGUGAUUGCUUAUAUCAUGUAAGUGCCCUUCCUACUGUUUCGAUGUGGCUUCUUUGUUUUUUUGGUGUAGGCUAUUUUGGUAGUUUCCAGUCUAUUUUGUUGAUGGCUGUUCCGCAGUUGGUUGUAAUUUUGGUGUUUUCAUGAGAGAAGGUGAGCUCCAGUCCUACUCCCCCAUCUUAAUCCUGUCACUCUGUAUUUUUUUUUAAUGAAAUUAUUACAUUUUUUUUCAAACAGAUUUUUGACAAGUUGUGUUCUUCCUGGAUUUUUUUUUUUUUUUUUUUUUGUCUCUUUAGGGCUGCAUCCACAGCAUGUGGAGGUUCCCAGGCUAGGGGUCAGAUUUGAGCUGCAGUUGCUGGCCUACGCCACAGCCAGAGCAACACCAGAUCUGAGCCGUAUCUGCGACCUACACCACAGCUCCAGGCAACGCUGAUCCUUAAGCCACUGAGGGAGGCCAGGGAUUGAACCUGCAUCCUCAUGGAUACUAGUCGGGUUCAUAACCUGCUGAGCCAAUGCCCGUCCUGGAUAUUAACAUUAGGCCAAAGUGUCAUAGACUGUGAGCUCUGAUAGACACUGAGUCUGUCUUAUUCACUCUUGUCUCCUUGUGCUUGGGACAUUCUGGGUGCACAGUAGGAUUUGUUUAUUGAUUGAUGGCUGGGCCAUCACAGAGAGGAAUCUUUUUGCUCAAAAGGUGCCAAGCUCUAGGUGGCCAGCUGAGGGAGUCCUAGCCCCAAGUCCAGGGCAGGCUGAAGGAAGCCAAAUCUGCCUAGUAACUGGGCAUCCAGUGGGGCUUUUAGUCCAGAGGAAGGCUGGCUGGAUGUGAAGGCUUGAGCAUCUUUGGAGAAGAGGCUCUACCUGAAUCAGAGAUCUGGUCUCCUCUCAGCUAGGGCAGGGGAUAGUGCCCGCUAGUGCCCCACUGACCUCAACAAAAACUGACUUCUUUUUUCUCACCCAACACGUGCUGGGCAUUGUUAAGGUCACACAGAAUUGGGCCUAAGCACUGGUGUGGUGUGAAGUCUGGGGGAGAGUGUGCUGGUGCUUCCCCUGGGACUCUGAUGCACCUGGGGAUCUUGAGGGCUGCCUGCCCAGCUCUGCCUGGCGUCAAGCCUACUCUUUGUUGGCUCAAGGCUGACUUUUUUUUUUGUCAUGGAUAGAGAAACUUUAGUCCAUAUUUUAUAACAACAACAAGAGUCAGUAAUAAUAGCAACAGUAACAACCACAAUAAUGAUGACUAACAAUGUUGAUGAUGCUCAAUAUGAUGAUAGUAAUCAUAAUAAUAUACUAUAAUUUAAUAUUAUAGUAUCAGUACUUAUUGGGAGAUAGGUCAGUAGCACAUAUGUCUGUGAGUGAGUGACUGAGUGCCCUUGUUGAGACUCAUGGGGUAGUUUGGUGUCAGAAUCAUAGUUUUUCACCUUGAUUUGGGUUCUGUGAAUGCAAAGGCCAGACAGCAGAAGGAAAAAGCAGGAGGAAAGGAAAGCACUCUUGAGUGUUGAGGACAUAGGAGGUGAAGCCUCCUCACUUCUGUCCUUGACUUUUUGGUAGAACCCAGGGCAUCUGGCUGCUUUGGACUGUGAUCUAGUGUUUGUGCAGAGCAGGUCCUGGGCUAUUCUUUCCCAUGGCAUGGGGAAAUCAUCUUAUAUCUGGGCUAAUUCUCCUGCAGAUGUUGUGACAUCUCUCCUCUUAUCAGACCCCAGCACUCGACAGCCAGGGGGAGGAUAUUCUUUGCAUCUCUGACUCAAAUCUGCACUGGUGGUUGAUCUUAUCUUUUCCGGGUGGGUUGGUUGAAGAGAUUGUGUGACAUCAGCAGCUCUUUCCACACCUUGUGUCCGGGAAGAGCUUAUUUCCUCUAGGCUUACAGCCUGGGGCAGACUUAGACACUGGCCUUAGGGCAUCCUUAAAGUUCUCCCAUAGGUUCUUCCUUUCAGCACAGCUUCUGAACACUCCUGAGGCUGUCCUUCCUCCCCCGUCUUCUUUCCUGGGCAUCAUGGUACCAUGUCCUGUGGUUUCCCUGUUACCUAGGGACUGGGCUGUGUAUGGAAAUAACAGGGAUAAGAUCAUUUGCUGAGCAUUUAAGCAGAUGCUUCAGAAAGCACUUUUGCUUCUUUGUAUUUUUUCAUUUUUUUGUAAUUUAUAAAAAUAUAAAAGUAAUUUUAAAGAGAAUAAAGAGAUUUGGAGCUGGACUCAGGAGCUCUGAGGCAGGAGGUAGGAGGGGUUAUUGUUGGUCCUUGCUGUGGGGAGUCCUGGUGUGGGUGGCUGUGGAGGCAGGAGAGUUACUUACAAACUAAAAGCCAAGCAGGAAGGCCUGUCUUUCUUGUCUCCUAUAAAUUAGAAUGAAGUCUGAUGAUCUCAGAACUGUGGCCUGUAGUCACCUUAGGCUUUUUGAGACUGGAGGAUAUUUGCAUUAGUUUCCUGAUCCUGUUUCCAGUGGCAGGUGGUGAUGAGUAUAAAGUAUGAGGCAAAGAAUUUUAAGAAAGGUAUUUGUUGGGAGGCUUGGCUUAAUUUAAGAAAUUCUGACUAGAAUUCUCUAGAUAUUUGGGGUCACUCUGAUGUUAGUGACAGCUAGAUUUCAGGUGCACUCAGAGGUGGUUUUGGGGCAAGGUUUGGCUGAGGCCUAUGGGUCCCUUUUCUGGGUUGAGAGAUCUUGCCCUGGACUGACCUCUCAUUCAUUGGCCUGAUAAGUUUCAUUUACUGUGGAUAACUUAAUUAGACCUGACAGUCUGGAGUGCUGCAGGCCUGUGAUGCUUCCCACUUUGUCCUAAUUCUCUGAUUUUUAGUCACAAACAUGGUUUUGGUAUAGAUAAGUGGGUAUUGGGGAUAGAGACCUCCAGAAGCCAUGGGAUCGCCUUUAGGGACACUUCUGAUGAAUUGAUAUUGGUUUAUCUGUGACCUGGCCUGGUGUGGGUAGGUGCGGGAAUGAUGGAAGAGGUGGAAGGAGAGGAGAAGGUGGAUGAAGAGUUAGAAAAGGAGAAAGAGAGAUGGCACACACAUGAAGCAUCUUUCACUGGGGUUGGAUGGGGCAAGUAAAGUUAAAUGGGUCCAAAUUUCUAGGAAGAAAAUGCUUUCACUGAAGGAGGUGGUCGAGGCUCCAUGAACUGGAAGUUGUGACUAUCACCCAGCCAUUUUGGGCUCCUCGUAUCAGUGGACCAUCAGGCAAGGAAAAGAAUUACUAUACAGGCUGGAGUAAUUGACCUUGAUUUCCUUGAGAAGCUAGGGUUGCUGCUGUGCGAUGCAGAAAGAGAAGAGUAUGGCUUGAACCCUGGGCAUUUACUGGGGGCAUCCCUCAUGCUUUUGUGCUCUGUGACCUGACAAGUAUAAGGCAACUAGAGACUCAGUCUUCCCAGGGGUGGUCACCGCACCAGAUACACAACCCAGACCAACUCAAGGGCUGACCAAAGGGGAGGGAAAUCUAGAAUGGGUGGUGGAGGAGUGAGACGAGAAAUAUAAAUUAAGACCUUGGGGCCAGCUGGAUAGAGGACACUGAAACUUGGUUUGCCAACUGUCUUUCAGUCUUUUCAGCUGUUUAAGUCUUUAACAGCUGCGAUCGGCUAUUAAAUUGAAGGUUUGAACUUGUACCUUCCUUUUCAAGAAAGAAGGAUGGGCAUCUUGUUCUCAGGCAAGAUCCAGAUACUGUCAGGAGGUGUAAGUGGAUUUGGGCGACAUAAGGGGAAGGCUUAGUCAGGACCGUUUUAUCAGUACCUCCGGUCAGCUUAGUCACUGUUACUUCCCAGCUCAUGCCAUUCCCAUGAGUAUAAGUCCCUGGCUACCACUACCUUUGCUGAAGACCAGAGAACUUCCAUGCAAGGUGCUAAUUAACAAGGAGAGACCACCAUGCAUGUGCAGUGAUCCAAGGAAUCCCACAAAGCCUUAUAUUUCUUCGCAGCCUCCUGGAUGGCCUGAGUGACACAAUCUGGAAGUACAAGGAUGUUUACUCCCCACUGAACAGAACUUGACCAGUGGUGAAUGAAUGGGUAUAUGUGCUUUUCCACUGGUAGAUAGAUACAUGGUGCUGAGUCAGCAGCAUUUAAAUUAUCUGGGCUUUGGAGUCAGAAAUAAGUGAAAUAAAGAUAUAUAGCUAUUGAUCCUUACCUCUAUCAUAGCCACUAUAAUUAUUUCAAUGUAAUUUCUUCCAGUAUUUUUCUAUGCAUACAUGAAACACGUAAUUAUAAAAUUGAGAUUCUACUGUAGGGAGAUUUUUUUUAUAUUGCUUUUGAAAAGCAUUCCAUUACAUUGAAUACUCCUGUAUGAUUCAGUGUUUUGAAAUUUUUAAUGAAUUCAAAAUGUUCAGUGACAUGAAUUUACUAUUUAAACUUUGUUCCAUGGCUGGGAUUCCAGUUUUUCUGCUAUUAAAAAUGCUGAGAUUAAAAAUCUUUAUUCUGGGGUGGCCAAAAAAAAAAAAAA